GAUUCCAUGGUGUAGUGGUUACCACUCCAGACUUUGAAUCUAGCAACUUGGGUUCGAAUCCCGGUGAGGACC
rnacentral:tRNA from 1 species